rnacentral:rRNA from 1 species
AGGGGUAAACCUGAGAAACCCGAAAGGUCGAAGGAAGAAAUUCAUUCGCGUUUCGACGCAGGCGUCGGACGGAGUCGUGCGACGGAACUCGCGCACCGCGCGUUCUUCGGAACCGCGAGUGUUUGCGUAGUUUUGCGCCCUUCGUUCGACGAACCGGCGACGAACGCGUGCACUUUUCUUCUGGUAGGACGUCGCGAUCCGUCGGGCGUCGGUCUACGACUUGCGGUGGAGCCCGUCCGUCGUCGUCUCGCGACGAUGCGGACGGACCCGCUCGUUUUCCGACCGACUCGCUCGACGGUAUACGUGCAAGGUCGGAGGCCGCUCGUUAUUUGAAAGGAGCGUUCGACUCGUCGCAAGCGCGUCACGUGCGUCGGCACGCGGACCUAGUGCCGCGUCCGACCUCUGGCGACUGUUGGCGGCGACGUUCUCGGACAGACCUCUUUCUCUCUCUCAUUUUAACCGAUGAGGGGGGGGUGACCGAUCGGCGACGCUAUAGCUUUGGGUACUUUCAGGACCCGUCUUGAAACACGGACCAAGGAGUCUAGCAUGUACGCGAGUCAUUGGGAAUUACUAAACCUAAAGGCGUAAUGAAAGUAAAGGUCUUCCUAGCGAAGACCGAGGGAAGACGGACGGUCUGCAAAAGCCCUCAAAAGUGUGAGGACCGUCCUGCAUUCCCGGGGCGUCUCGUUCACAUUGCGUGAAGAGGCGCACCAAGAGCGUACACGCUGGGACCCGAAAGAUGGUGAACUAUGCCUGGUCAGGACGAAGUCAGGGGAAACCCUGAUGGAGGUCC